rnacentral:rRNA from 1 species
GAUGAACGCUAGCUACAGGCUUAACACAUGCAAGUCGAGGGGAAACGAUAUUGGAAGCUUGCUUCCGAUAGGCGUGGACCGGCGCACGGGUGAGUAACGCGUAUCCAACCUGCCCAUCACUUGGGGAUAACCUUGCGAAAGUAAGACUAAUACCCAAUGAUAUCCGUCGAAGACAUCAGAAGUGGAUUAAAGAUUCAUCGGUGAUGGAUGGGGAUGCGUCUGAUUAGCUUGUUGGCGGGGUAACGGCCCACCAAGGCAACGAUCAGUAGGGGUUCUGAGAGGAAGGUCCCCCACAUUGGAACUGAGACACGGUCCAAACUCCUACGGGAGGCAGCAGUGAGGAAUAUUGGUCAAUGGACGAGAGUCUGAACCAGCCAAGUAGCGUGCAGGAUGACGGCCCUAUGGGUUGUAAACUGCUUUUAUAAGGGAAUAAAGUGGGAGUCGUGACUCCUUUUGCAUGCACCUUAUGAAUAAGGACCGGCUAAUUCCGUGCCAGCCGCCGCUGUAA